CUACGGGAUGCAGCAGUGGGGAAUAUUGCACAAUGGAGGAAACUCUGAUGCAGCGACGCCGCGUGAGUGAAGAAGUAUUUCGGUAUGUAAAGCUCUAUCAGCAGGGAAGAUAGUGACGGUACCUGACUAAGAAGCACCGGCUAAAUACGUGCCAGCAGCCGCGGUAAUACGUAUGGUGCAAGCGUUAUCCGGAUUUACUGGGUGUAAAGGGAGUGUAGGUGGCAUGGCAAGUCAGAAGUGAAAGCCCAGGGCUCAACCCUGGGACUGCUUUUGAAACUGCCAGGCUAGAGUGCAGGAGAGGUAAGUGGAAUUCCUAGUGUAGCGGUGAAAUGCGUAGAUAUUAGGAGGAACACCAGCGGCGAAGGCGGCUUACUGGACUGUAACUGACACUGAGGCUCGAAAGCGUGGGGAGCAAACAGGAUUAGAUACCCUCGUAGUC
rnacentral:rRNA from 1 species